rnacentral:tRNA from 1 species
GGCCCAGUAGCUCAGUUUGGUUAGAGCGCGCGCCUGAUAAGCGCGAGGCCAGUGGUUCAACUCCACUCUGGGCCA